rfam:TPA: Bos taurus chromosome 16, whole genome shotgun sequence.
ACCCUGGCAGUUCAGUGGUUAGGACUUGGCACUUUCACUGCCAAGGCCCAGGUUCAGUCCCUGGCCAGGGAA